rnacentral:rRNA from 1 species
CCUACGGGUGACAGCAGUGAGGAAUAUUGGUCAAUGGACGAGAGUCUGAACCAGCCAAGUAGCGUGAAGGAUGACUGCCCUAUGGGUUGUAAACUUCUUUUAUAUGGGAAUAAAAUGUUCCACGUGUGGGAUUUUGUAUGUACCAUAUGAAUAAGGAUCGGCUAACUCCGUGCCAGCAGCCGCGGUAAUACGGAGGAUCCGAGCGUUAUCCGGAUUUAUUGGGUUUAAAGGGAGCGUAGGUGGAUUGUUAAGUCAGUUGUGAAAGUUUGCGGCUCAACCGUAAAAUUGCAGUUGAAACUGGCAGUCUUGAGUACAGUAGAGGUGGGCGGAAUGCGUGGUGUAGCGGUGAAAUGCUUAGAUAUCACGAAGAACUCCGAUUGCGAAGGCAGUUCACUGGACUGCAACUGACGCUGAGGCUCGAAAGUGUGGGUAUCAAACAGGAUUAGAUACCCCUGUAGUC